rnacentral:rRNA from 1 species
UACAGGUGGGAUUUGCGUUUGAAAUUUCAACAGGUAUUAAGUGUGAUUAGGCGGCCAAAUUAGAUGGCUAGAGUUUAUUUUGAGGAGAAUAAGGAAUAACCCUUGAAAGGAUGAAAUCUGUAGAUUAUGGGUUAGAACAUCAAGAGCGACAGCAUUAUUCUAUUAAAUAACUGACGCUGACUCACUAAAGUUGUGGGGGAGCAAAUCGG